rnacentral:rRNA from 1 species
AUUGAACGCUGGCGGCAGGCCUAACACAUGCAAGUCGAGCGGAGAGGCGGACGGGUGAGUGAUGCCUAGGAAUCUGCCUGGGAGUGGGGGAUAACGUCCGGAAACGGGCGCUAAUACCGCAUACUAUACGAUGAGCCUAGGUAGGAAUAGAUAGUUGGGGGGGUAAAGGCCUCCCAAGGCGACGAUCCGUAACUGGUCUGAGAGGAUGAUCAGUAACACUGGAAGGGAGAAAGGGUCCAGACUCCGACGGGAGGCAGCAGUGGGGAAUAUGGGACAAUGGGCGAAAGCCGGAGCCAUCCAGGCCGGGUGUGGGAAGAAGGUCUUCGGAUUGUAAAGCACUUGAAUUUGGGAGGCGUUACCAACAGAAUAAGCACCGGCUAACUUCGUGCCAGCAGCCGCGGUAAUUC